GUCGAGAAGCUUCGGCAAUGGGCGAAAGCCUGACCGAGCGACGCCGCGUGAGUGAAGAAGGCCCUAUGGGUUGUAAAACUCUGUCAGAUUGGGAAGAAAAUUCCAUGGUUAAUACCCGUGGAACUUGACGGUACCAUCAGAGGAAGCACCGGCUAACUCCGUGCCAGCAGCCGCGGUAAUACGGAGGGUGCAAGCGUUGUUCGGAUUCACUGGGUAUAAAGGGUGCGCAGGCGGCCCGGUAAGUCAGAGGUGAAAUAUGACGGCUUAACCGUCAAACUGCCUCUGAAACUGCCAGGCUUGAGUCCGGGAGAGGAAGGUGGAAUUCCAGGUGUAGCGGUGAAAUGCGUAAAUAUCUGGAGGAACACCGGUGGCGAAGGCGGCCUUCUGGCCCGGAACUGACGCUCAGGCACGAAAGCUAGGGGAGCGAACGGGAUUAGAUACCCCAGUAGUCC
rnacentral:rRNA from 1 species